rnacentral:lncRNA from 1 species
CUGGUUCCCAGUGCUCCCUGAUCUUAUAGCCAAGGAAAUUGGCAGAAAGGAAGCCAGAUAAGAGUCUGGGUGAAGCCAUAGACCUAGUAUUUAGAUGAUACUUUGAGAGUCCAUAGCACCUCUAAGACAGGAUGCUAGGAAACAGGAAUUUCAGGAGUGGGAAGUACUUGUAGAAGUACUGUGGAGGCUAGAACCCAUGACACUGCCCUCUAGUGGGCAGUUUUAAGUCUAGAAAUAAAUUCAAGCCUAAGACAACUUGACCUUGUCCAUUUUCCCUUUGAGUCUGGGUACUUUGCUUUAUAUUAGACCAGGGGUGGGCUGUGUGGCUAGAGGAAGAGUGUGUAAUUUAGUGAACCAGCAUAGCAUCUCGGUUCACUCUUUUUCUCAGGGUACAGCACAGAAGAGGAAAAAUGACCAUUGUGCAUUCAGAAGGGAAGUUUGAGGUGAUCCCUGUAAAUGGCUUAGGAGAAAGCUGUCCUCACCAUACCCGAUUUAGUACACACAGAAUGCUUUGCAGUCUUCCAAGGGAGCCAGCAGACUCCUCACCAGCCAUGUCUCAUGCACA